AUCAAGUAAUAAAAUUACAGUCUCCUAAGGGGAGUAACUGAAACUCUCCCUGGUGCAGUAAGGUGUUGUUUAGUAGGUGCCCAGCGGGUGUCGCUAUGAUAGUUGUAUACAUGCAGUGCUCACCCACAGCUGUAUGAGGGCGCAUCUGUUGUGACGUCAUCACUGUGUGACAGGCGAGUGUCCCGUGGGAAAAAAAGAGAAACAGAGACCGAGAAGGAGAAAAAGAGAAAAACGCAGGGAAAUACAAAGCUCCGUGACGGCAGGGGAGACAACACUGUCUACGAGUUCGGGGUAUUUACUCCAGCCUGAACAGGAAUUCCGGCAUCUUGAAGGCAGUCGGGAAAUAGGACCCACAUUUGUUUUGGAGCUGCAGGUGUUGGUGCGAAAACCAUACACCUGGCCAUACAGUACCACAUCCCAGCCCCAACACUAGUGACCAUUAACAGCUAAAUGCAUGUCCU